GGGGAAUAUUGGACAAUGGGCGCAAGCCUGAUCCAGCAAUGCCGCGUGAGUGAUGAAGGCCUUCGGGUCGUAAAGCUCUUUUACCAGGGAUGAUAAUGACAGUACCUGGAGAAUAAGCUCCGGCUAACUCCGUGCCAGCAGCCGCGGUAAUACGGAGGGAGCUAGCGUUGUUCGGAAUUACUGGGCGUAAAGCGCACGUAGGCGGUUACUCAAGUCAGAGGUGAAAGCCCGGGGCUCAACCCCGGAACUGCCUUUGAAACUAGGUGACUGGAAUCUUGGAGAGGCGAGUGGAAUUCCGAGUGUAGAGGUGAAAUUCGUAGAUAUUCGGAAGAACACCAGUGGCGAAGGCGACUCGCUGGACAAGUAUUGACGCUGAGGUGCGAAAGCGUGGGGAGCAAACAGGA
rnacentral:rRNA from 1 species